AUAAUCUGUUAGUUUGUAUAUGACGUGGUGUAAUGGAUGGUUUUUUGUGGGU
rnacentral:sRNA from 1 species